CGCAAUGGACGAAAGUCUGACGCAGCAACGCCGCGUGAGCGAUGAAGGUUUUCGGAUUGUAAAGCUCUGUUGAGUGGGAAGAAAACUCUCCGGGAUAAUACCCCGGAGACUUGACGGUACCACUCGAGGAAGCCCCGGCUAAAUACGUGCCAGCAGCCGCGGUAAUACGUAUGGGGCAAGCGUUGUUCGGAAUCACUGGGCGUAAAGGGAGUGUAGGCGGAAAGGUAAGUUAGAAGUGUAAUCCACGGGCUUAACCCGUGACUCGCUUUUAAUACUGCUUUUCUUGAGUAUGGGAGAGGGAGAUGGAAUUCCAGGUGUAGCGGUGGAAUGCGUAGAUAUCUGGAAGAACACCAGUAGCAAAGGCGGUCUCCUGGCCCAAUACUGACGCUGAGGCUCGAAAGCGUGGGGAGCGAACAGGAUUAGAUACCCUGGUAGUCCACGCCGUAAACGAUGGACACCAGAUGUUGGCCUCUUCGGGGGUCGGUGUCGUAGCUAACGCGUUAGGUGUCCCGCCUGGGAAGUACGCUCGCAAGAGUGAAACUCAAAGGAAUUGACGGGGGCCCGCACAAGCGGUGGAGCAUGUGCUUUAAUUCGAUGCAACGCGAAGAACCUUACCUGGACUUGACAUGGGGGUGAAAGUUUUCAGAGAUGAAAACCCUUCCUUCGGGAACGCCCUACACAGGUGCUGCAUGGUUGUCGUCAGCUCGUGUCGUGAGAUGUUGGGUUAAGUCCCGCAACGAGCGCAACCCUUGUCCUUAGUUGCCAGCGGGUCAUGCCGGGAACUCUAUGGGAGACUGCCUGGUACAACCAGGAGGAAGGUGGGGAUGACGUCAAAUCAUCAUGGCCCUUACGUCCAGGGCUAGACACGUGCUACAAUGGCCGGUACAGAGGGCUGCAAGACUGCGAAGUCAAGCCAAUCCCUAAAAACCGGUCUCAGUUCGGAUUGGAGUCUGCAAUUCGACUCCAUGA
rnacentral:rRNA from 1 species